rnacentral:rRNA from 1 species
ACGUAGGGGGCAAGCGUUGUCCGGAUUUAUUGGGCGUAAAGAGCGUGUAGGCGGUUUUACAGGUCCGCUGUGAAAACUCGAGGCUCAACCUCGAGCUGUCGGUGGAAACCGUAAGGCUAGAGUCCGGAAGAGGAGAGUGGAAUUCCCGGUGUAGCGGUGAAAUGCGCAGAUAUCGGGAAGAACACCCGUGGCGAAGGCGGCUCUCUGGGACGGUACUGACGCUGAGACGCGAAAGCGUGGGGAGCGAACAGGAUUAGAUACCCUGGUAGUCCACGCCGUAAACGAUGGGUGCUAGGUGUGGGGGGUGUCGACUCCCCCCGUGCCGAAGCUAACGCAUUAAGCACCCCGCCUGGGGAGUACGGCCGCAAGGCUA